rnacentral:tRNA from 1 species
GCCUGGGUGGCUCAGUUGGUUAAGCAUCUGACUUCGGCUCAGGUCAUGAUCUCGCGGUCCGUGAGUUCGAGCCCCACGCCAGGCU